CUGGCUCAGGAUGAACGCUGGCGGCGUGCCUAACACAUGCAAGUCGAACGAAGCAUACGGACCGGAGAUUCGUCGAAGGACCGUAUGACUUAGUGGCGGACGGGUGAGUAAUGUAUGAGCAACCUGCCUUUCAGAGGGGGGACAACAGUUGGAAACGACUGCUAAUACCGCGUAACGUAUCGUGGGGGCAUCCUCAUGAUACCAAAGGAGCAAUCCGCUGAAAGAUGGGCUCAUAUCUGAUUAGCUUGUUGGCGGGGUAACGGCCCACCAAGGCGACGAUCAGUAGCCGGACUGAGAGGUUGAACGGCCACAUGGGACUGAGAUACGGCCCAGACUCCUACGGGAGGCAGCAGUGGGGAAUAUUGGGCAAUGGGCGAAAGCCUGAACCCCAGCAACGCCGCGUGAAGGAAGAAGGUCUUCGGAUUGUAAACUUCUUUUAUGAGGGACGAAGGACGUGACGGUACCUCAUGAAUAAGCCACGGCUAACUACGUGCCAGCAGCGGC
rnacentral:rRNA from 1 species